rnacentral:rRNA from 1 species
GACGAAGGAUGCAAGCGUUAUCCGGAUUCAUUGGGUUUAAAGGGUGCGUAGGCGGACUGAUAAGUCAGUGGUGAAAUCUCUUUGCUUAACAAAGGAACUGCCAUUGAUACUGUCGGUCUAGAGUAUAGAUGACGUUGGCGGAAUAUGACAUGUAGUGGUGAAAUACUUAGAUAUGACAUAGAACACCAAUUGCGAAGGCAGCUGACUACGGGAGUAUUGACACUGAGGCACGAAAGCGUGGGGAUCAAACAGG